rnacentral:rRNA from 1 species
GUUAAGCGACUAAGCGUACACGGUGGAUGCCCUGGCAGUCAGAGGCGAUGAAGGACGUGCUAAUCUGCGAUAAGCGUCGGUGAGGUGAUAUGAACCGUUAUAACCGGCGAUUUCCGAAUGGGGAAACCCAGUGUGUUUCGACACACUAUCAUUAACUGAAUCCAUAGGUUAAUGAGGCGAACCGGGGGAACUGAAACAUCUAAGUACCCCGAGGAAAAGAAAUCAACCGAGAUUCCCCCAGUAGCGGCGAGCGAACGGGGAGGAGCCCAGAGCCUGAAUCAGUGUGUGUGUUAGUGGAAGCGUCUGGAAAGGCGCGCGAUACAGGGUGACAGCCCCGUACACAAAAAUGCACAUGCUGUGAGCUCGAUGAGUAGGGCGGGACACGUGGUAUCCUGUCUGAAUAUGGGGGGACCAUCCUCCAAGGCUAAAUACUCCUGACUGACCGAUAGUGAACCAGUACCGUGAGGGAAAGGCGAAAAGAACCCCGGCGAGGGGAGUGAAAAAGAACCUGAAACCGUGUACGUACAAGCAGUGGGAGCCUCUUAAUGGGGUGACUGCGUACCUUUUGUAUAAUGGGUCAGCGACUUAUAUUCUGUAGCAAGGUUAACCGAAUAGGGGAGCCGAAGGGAAACCGAGUCUUAACUGGGCGUUAAGUUGCAGGGUAUAGACCCGAAACCCGGUGAUCUAGCCAUGGGCAGGUUGAAGGUUGGGUAACACUAACUGGAGGACCGAACCGACUAAUGUUGAAAAAUUAGCGGAUGACUUGUGGCUGGGGGUGAAAGGCCAAUCAAACCGGGAGAUAGCUGGUUCUCCCCGAAAGCUAUUUAGGUAGCGCCUCGUGAAUUCAUCUCCGGGGGUAGAGCACUGUUUCGGCAAGGGGGUCAUCCCGACUUACCAACCCGAUGCAAACUGCGAAUACCGGAGAAUGUUAUCACGGGAGACACACGGCGGGUGCUAACGUCCGUCGUGAAGAGGGAAACAACCCAGACCGCCAGCUAAGGUCCCAAAGUCAUGGUUAAGUGGGAAACGAUGUGGGAAGGCCCAGACAGCCAGGAUGUUGGCUUAGAAGCAGCCAUCAUUUAAAGAAAGCGUAAUAGCUCACUGGUCGAGUCGGCCUGCGCGGAAGAUGUAACGGGGCUAAACCAUG